UACGGGGGGGGGCAAGCGUUGUUCGGAAUUACUGGGCGUAAAGGGCUCGUAGGCGGCCAACUAAGUCGGACGUGAAAUCCCCAGGCUCAACCUGGGAACUGCAUUUGUGACUGCAUGGCUGGAGUGCGGCAGAGGGGGAUGGAAUUCCGCGUGUAGCAGUGAAAUGCGUAGAUAUGCGGAGGAACACCGAUGGCGAAGGCAAUCCCCUGGGCCUGCACUGACGCUCAUGCACGAAAGCGUGGGGAGCAAACAGG
rnacentral:rRNA from 1 species